ensembl:lncRNA
UUUAAAAUACUAUUGGUAAAAGUACUUGGUCUACCACUAGGUGACAGUGUUUGACCACAAAGUGUUAUUGUGCUUGCCCUUAGUGGGAAACAAGAAAACUGCUUACUUGUUGGGUCCUACUGUGGAGUUUGUAUUGUUCUCCCACAGUCCAGAAACAUGUUCGUAAAGUCUGAUGGAAAUAAAUCAGCCUUCGGUGUGGUCUGGUAACCUGUGACAGCAGGGAAACAAUGUAAACUAUUUAAAAGCAAUGACAAACAAAAACCCAUUUAAUACACUUAGCUUUUCUAACGCAUUAUGUCUAAAUAUCUUAAUAUGAGUUCCACUAGCUCUCAAGAGACGGGAUUUAACAGAUGUCCGUGAACGCCGCAUGAACUCUCGGCGGUCCCUUUGAAGUGCAGUUUGUGGCUGGAGCUGAAGCUGCCCUCGGAGGUAACUAUUAGCUUAUGUCAAAAAAUGUUUAUGUAUAAUGAUAUUAUAAGUUUCAGGCUCUAAACAGGUAAUAGCCCCCUCUGGAAUAGUUUACCUACGAAAUUGACUUUUAAAACCUCAACUUUUAGUCUGUUCUUCUGAUAAUUCACCACGGGUUUUUUCCCCCUUCUUAACCUUGGAUAGGCUAAAGCCCACACCCCACACCCGCCGCCACCUUGAACUGGGAAAAAAAAUCAUGAUUGACUUUGAGGAGGCAGACUUCAUUUUGGAAACUCAGAAAAGAAAAAGAAAAAAAGACAAAAAACACAAAACCAACUUGACUGUGAAACCAGAAGAGAGCAUCCAGAAGAAAAGGAAAAAGAAAAACUCCCAGCUCAAAGAAGAAAAGCAGGAAAGGAAACAAAAGAAAAAGGAAAAGAAGAAAGAAAAGCAAAGAAGGAGACUGGCUUUAGAGCUAGACAGCAGUGUUGUAUUUAAACAGUGCAGUAGUGCCCAGGAAAAACUUUUUGAGAAGCCUGAAGCAUCAAAGCCACAACAAAAUGAAAAGCUGAAGCCUGAUCGUCUGACUCAAGACUCCAAAAAGAAAUGCAAAAGAAAAAAAAAAGUGGUGUUUGAUGUGUCACCCUGUUACAUCCGUGUCAAACGGCCUAAAUUUGCAUCAUCAUCCACGAAAGAGGAGCAGGCUGUGAAAGGCGCUGAGAGCUGUUCACAGGACGCAGUGACGGGGAACAGCCAGAGUCACGAUCAGGACUCUCAGGGCACCAGUGAUGACAUCAACAGCCAGGACUUGUUUAUUACCCAGAAGACUUUCAGAACAUCGCUCUCCGAACCCUCCAGCGGGGAAGUCAGUGACGGAGCUCUUAUGCUAUCUCCUCAGUUGCGAACACAGCAAGGCGAGUGCCAACAGCUUAAACUAUUUCAUGAAGAAUCAGAAAAAUGGCCACAUGACUCACAGCCUCAUCAGUGCUUUGUGCAGCCAAACCCAGAAGAACCUGAAGAAGGUAAAGGAUAUCAUAAGAUACAUGAGCAGAGAAAAAGAUCCUUCCUGAAACAAGAAAAUAGAAACUUAUCUGAAGAGCAAAGAGUCUCACGUUCAGUGCAUUUAAAGAUCGGUGUGGGGCAUCCUUUCCUGGAGGAGCCAAUCAUUGUAAACUCCUCCCUGGAUCUUGGAGAGAGCAACACCUGCCCUCCAAAUCAGCGUUCCCCUUCAUGCCUGCCACAUGUUAAUAAGUCACUGCUUCCUGCCAGGUCCACAGUGAGCUCUUCCACACAGACAGAAAACUUCUUCACCACUGAGCUCUCCUCCUACCUCAGCUUCUGCCAGAAAAGUAGACCAGCUGUUUGUUUCGAUGACAUGAAACCUUUAGACCUGAGCCUUCCACACAGGGUGAGAAAAGACCGCGGGAGCUGUUUGUCAGUAAUGGAGGUCAACCAUGAAGGAGAAGGAGGCAUGGGUCCAUCUGGGUCUUCACUUGUGAAAGAAAAUCAGGUGCUUUUGGGUCGAGGAGAAACAACUCCCAGUCCGCAGUUGUCAGAAUCUGAUCAAAAGUCUGCUGAUACAACGACGUCCAGCGAGGACAGCGAGCAGCCGUGCCGCGCUGGCAAGCUGGACCUGAUUCAGGUCAGAGCAGUCCAGAUGAAACUCAACGAAUCCUUCUUUUUCAAGCCCAAAGGAGAGGGACGGUCGCCCAGGCCAGAGUCACCGCUGAUGAAACUCUCUCAGGGCAGAGACACUAAAAGGAGGAAGAGCCGCUGA